rnacentral:tRNA from 1 species
GCGGGUUUAGCUCAGUUGGGAGAGCGUCAGACUGAAGUAGCACUUCAUUCCUGUUAUCUGAAGGUCAUGUGUUCGAUCCACAUAAACCGCA